CAGUCGCCGCGGUAAUACGUAGGUGGCAAGCGUUGUCCGGAAUUAUUGGGCGUAAAGGGCUCGCAGGCGGUUUCUUAAGUCUGAUGUGAAAGCCCCCGGCUCAACCGGGGAGGGUCAUUGGAAACUGGGAAACUUGAGUGCAGAAGAGGAGAGUGGAAUUCCACGUGUAGCGGUGAAAUGCGUAGAGAUGUGGGGGAACACCAGUGGCGAAGGCGACUCUCUGGUCUGUAACUGACGCUGAGGAGCGAAAGCGUGGGGAGCGAACAGGAUUAGAUACCCGCGUAGUCCCUGUCUCUUAUAC
rnacentral:rRNA from 1 species